GGAUGUGAGGGCGAUCUGGCUGCGACAUCUGUCACCCCAUUGAUCGCCAGGGCCGAUUCGGCUGAUCUGGCUGGCUGGGCCAGUGUCCCCUUCCUCCCUCACCGCUCCAUGUGCGUCCCUCCCAAAGCUGCGUGCUUGGUCAAAGAGGACGACCAUCCCCGAUAGAGGAGGACCGUUCUUCUCGGUCAAGGGUAUACGAGUAGCUGCGCUCUCCUGCUAGAACAAGCUCUCAGAGGCUUGUCCUGAGCAUUAAAUAAGCAACUAUUUUAUCAAACACUGAGAACGGUGCCUGGCACAUCGUGUUUU
rfam:Camelus ferus unplaced genomic scaffold scaffold1089, whole genome shotgun sequence.